GAUGAAGAACGCAGCGAAAUGCGAUAAGUAAUGUGAAUUGCAGAAUUCAGUGAAUCAUCGAAUCUUUGAACGCACAUUGCGCCCCUUGGUAUUCCGAGGGGCAUGCCUGUUCGAGCGUCAUUAUAACCCUCAAGCUCAGCUUGGUGUUGGGGCCUGCUGCACUGGCAGCCCUUAAAAUCAGUGGCGGCGCCAUCUGGCUCUAAGCGUAGUAAUUCUUCUCGCUAUGGAGUCCUGGUGGAUGCUUGCCAUCAACCCCCAAUUUUUCUAUGGUUGACCUCGGAUCAGGUAGGGAUACCCGCUGAACUUAAGCGUAUCAAUAAGCGGGAGGA
rnacentral:misc_RNA from 1 species